rnacentral:rRNA from 1 species
AGAGUUUGAUCCUGGCUCAGGAUGAACGCUGGCGGCGUGCUUAACACAUGCAAGUCGAACGGGAAUUACUUUAUUGAAACUUCGGUCGAUUUAAUUUAAUUCUAGUGGCGGACGGGUGAGUAACGCGUGGGUAACCUGCCUUAUACAGGGGGAUAACAGUCAGAAAUGGCUGCUAAUACCGCAUAAGCGCACAGAGCUGCAUGGCUCAGUGUGAAAAACUCCGGUGGUAUAAGAUGGACCCGCGUUGGAUUAGCUUGUUGGUGGGGUAACGGCCUACCAAGCCGACGAUCAGUAGCCGGCCUGAGAGGGUGAACGGCCACAUUGGGACUGAGACACGGCCCAAACUCCUACGGGAGGCAGCAGUGGGGAAUAUUGCACAAUGGGGGAAACCCUGAUGCAGCGACGCCGCGUGAGUGAAGAAGUAUUUCGGUAUGUAAAGCUCUAUCAGCAGGGAAGAAAGUGACGGUACCUGAAUAAGAAGCCCCGGCUAACUACGUGCCAGCAGCCGCGGUAAUACGUAGGGGGCAAGCGUUAUCCGGAUUUACUGGGUGUAAAGGGAGCGUAGACGGCAAGGCAAGUCUGAAGUGAAAGCCCGGUGCUUAACGCCGGGACUGCUUUGGAAACUGUUUGGCUGGAGUGCCGGAGAGGUAAGCGGAAUUCCUAGUGUAGCGGUGAAAUGCGUAGAUAUUAGGAAGAACACCAGUGGCGAAGGCGGCUUACUGGACGGUAACUGACGUUGAGGCUCGAAAGCGUGGGGAGCAAACAGAAUUAGAUACCCUGGUAGUCCACGCCGUAAACGAUG